GGGGGCUGGAACAGCCUAGAAAAACUCCAUUGAAGUGGGAUUUGACCUUGAUGCAGAGAACAGCUGCUUCCUUAAGAAAUAUGAAGAGUCAAGAGCAGAAGAAAAUCCUAAAAGAUGGAAUGAAAGGAAUGGAACUGGAUCCGAGUCAGAAUGUGUCUUCAGUCCAACUUAAAAAUCACAAAGUUCUUGAUCAGUACCUAGUUGACAAUCCAUUCUACUUCGAGGAAUGGCCUAAAGAAAUAAACUUUUCAGAUAAUGCAAAGACCUUAAAACAUUUCGACUCCAAAAAUAAUCCCUUCUUGAC
rnacentral:lncRNA from 1 species